rnacentral:rRNA from 1 species
AGAAUCAACGCUGGCGGCGUGCCUAACACAUGCAAGUCGAACGAGAAAGUGGAGCAAUCCAUGAGUAAAGUGGCGCACGGGUGAGUAACACGUGACUAACCUACCUUUUAGUGGGGGAUAACCUAGGGAAACCUGGGCUAAUACCGCAUAAUACCUACGGGUCAAAGCAGCAAUGCGCUGAAAGAGGGGGUCGCGGUCGAUUAGUUAGUUGGCAGGGUAAUGGCCUACCAAGACUGUGAUCGAUAUCCGGCCUGAGAGGGCGCACGGACACACUGGAACUGAAACACGGUCCAGACUCCUACGGGAGGCAGCAGUGGGGAAUUUGCGCAAUGGGGGAAACCCUGACGCAGCAACGCCGCGUGGAGGAUGAAGUCCCUUGGGACGUAAACUCCUUUCGAUCGGGACGAUAAUGACGGUACCGGAAGAAGAAGCCCCGGCUAACUUCGCGCCAGCAGCCGC